CUUGGUUGAUCCUACCAGUACCAUAUGCUUGUCUCAAAGAUUAUGCCAUACAUGUCUAAGUAGGCAGGGCCGGUACAGUGAAACUGCGAAUGGCUCAUUAAAUCAGUUAUGGUUCUUUUGGUCGCUCGCUCCUCUCCUACUUGGAAAACUGUGGUAAUUCUAGAGCUAAUGCAUGCCGAAGGGUGCUGACCCCCUUCGCGGGGAAGAUGCCUGCAUUUAUCAGAUCAAAACCAACCCGGUCAGCCCCUCUCCGGCCCCUGCCUAGGGGUCGAGUGCCACCGGCUUUGGUGACUCUAGAUAGCCUCGGGCCAAUCGCAUGCCCCCCUGUGGCAGCAACGACCCAUUCGAACGUCUGCCCUAUCAACUUUCGAUGGUAGUCGCUGUGCCUACCAAGGUGACCACGGGUGAAGGAGAAUCAGGGUUCGAUUCUGGAGAGGGAGCCUGAGAAAUGGCUACCACAUUCAAGGAAGGCAGCAGGCAUGCAAAUUACCCACUCCUGACUCGAGGAGGUAGUGAUGAAACAUAACAAUACAGGACUCUUUCGAGGUCCUGUAAUUGGAAUGAGUCCACUUUAAAUCCUUUAACGAAGAUCCAUUGGAGGGCAAGUUUAGUGCCAGCAGCCGCGGUAAUUCCAGCUCCAAUAGCGUAUAUUAAAGUUGCUGCAGUUAAAAAGCUCCUAGUUGGAUCUUGGGAGCGGGCGGGCAGUCCGCCAUGAGGCGAGCCACUGCCCGUCCCCGCCCCUUGCCUCUUGGCGCCCCCUCGAUGCUCUUAGCUGAGUGUUCCGCGGCCCAAAGCGUUUACUUUGAAAAAAUUAGAGUGUUCAAAGCAGGUCCAAGCCGCCUGGAUACCGCAGCUAGGAAUAAUGGAAUAGGACCGCGGUUCUAUUUUGUUGGUUUAUGGAACUGAGGCCAUGAUUAAGAGGGACAGCUGGGGGCAUUUGUAUUGCACCGCUAGAGGUGAAAUUCUUGGACCGGCGCAGUUUGGACCAGAGUGAAAGCAUUUGCCAAGAAUGUUUUCAUUAAUCAAGAAUGAAAGUCGGAGGUUCGAAGACGAUCAGAUACCGUGGUAGUUCUGACCAUAAACGAUGCCGACUGGCAACGUGGCGGUGUUAUUCCCAUGACCCGCUGGGCAGCUUCCAAGAAACCAAAGUCUUUGGGUUUUUAGGUUCCGGGGGGAGUACGGUUGCAAAGCUGAAACUUAAAGGAAUUGGUGGAAGGGCACCACCAGGAGUGGAGCCUGCGGCUUAAUUUGACUCAACAUGGGAAAAAUCCCCCGGGCCGGACAGGGACAGGAUUGACAGAUUGAUAGCUGUUUCUCUGUUCCAUGGGUGGUGGUGC
rnacentral:rRNA from 1 species